rnacentral:rRNA from 1 species
GAUGAACGCUGGCGGCGUGCCUAAUACAUGCAAGUCGAGCGAACAGACGAGGAGCUUGCUCCUCUGACGUUAGCGGCGGACGGGUGAGUAACACGUGGAUAACCUACCUAUAAGACUGGGAUAACUUCGGGAAACCGGAGCUAAUACCGGAUAAUAUAUUGAACCGCAUGGUUCAAUAGUGAAAGACGGUUUUGCUGUCACUUAUAGAUGGAUCCGCGCCGCAUUAGCUAGUUGGUAAGGUAACGGCUUACCAAGGCAACGAUGCGUAGCCGACCUGAGAGAGUGAUCGGCCACACUGGAACUGAGACACGGUCCAGACUCCUACGGGAGGCAGCAGUAGGGAAUCUUCCGCAAUGGGCGAAAGCCUGACGGAGCAACGCCGCGUGAGUGAUGAAGGUCUUCGGAUCGUAAAACGCUGUUAUUAGGGAAGAACAAAUGUGUAAGUAACUAUGCACGUCUUGACGGUACCUAAUGAGAAAGCAACGGCUAACUACGUG